GUCCAGAUGGCAUAGUGGUCAGCGCAUCUGUCUGAUAAGCAGGAGACCCGGGUUUGAAUCCUGGUCUGGCACA